rnacentral:ncRNA from 2 species
GAACUCCAGGGUGAUGGAGCUCACCAAUGGCUGCGCUGCGCAGAUGAUGGCUCCUACUGACAG